UACGUAGGGGGGCAAGCGUUGUCCGGAAUCAUUGGGCGUAAAGAGCGUGUAGGCGGCCCGAUAAGUCCGCUGUGAAAGUCCAGGGCUCAACCCUGGGAUGCCGGUGGAUACUGUCGGGCUCGAGUCCGGAAGAGGAGUGUGGAAUUCCUGGUGUAGCGGUGAAAUGCGCAGAUAUCAGGAGGAACACCAAUGGCGAAGGCAGCACUCUGGGGACGUGACUGACGCUGAGACGCGAAAAGCGUGGGGGAGCAAAACAGG
rnacentral:rRNA from 1 species